rnacentral:SRP_RNA from 1 species
GCCAGGCGUGGUGGCGGGCGCCUGUAAUCCCAGCUACUCGGGAGGCUGAGGUGGGAGAACUGCUUGAACCCAGGAGGUGGAGGCUGCAGUGAGCCAAGAUUGCACCACUGCACUCCAGCCUGGGUGACAGAGCGAGACUCCACCUCAA